AUGAUAAGUUGCCAGUAUUUCAAGACCACCACAAAGGAGCAGCUACCAAGGUACAUAAAAAUAAAACACAGCGACGAGGACGAUAAAAUUCCAAGGAAAAAAAAACACCGAGACGAUUACAUUUUUUUGCAAGCUUCCCCUGAGCUGCAAAGAAAGAAGUCGCACGCUGCAACAAAACUAGAGGAAGAAAUGAGCUCGAACCGAGAUGGCCGGGAGAGGAGGAGGAAACAUGAACUUUCUUUUGCCAGUCCAAGAGGCUGGCUAGAUAUGGCAGAGCACCUAGAGCACCGCACGCGGGCACCAAAAAUAGCACCCCCUCUUGGAGCAAAGCGGGCCGGUCACUGGGAGCGAGGACCCAAAUCAGGAAACCUAUCCAAGAACCAGACGCGUAGCAGCAGCAGCAGCAAGAUGCGAGCACCAACCAAAAGCCGGCCAUGGAAUUAA
rnacentral:rRNA from 1 species